CACAGCUAAUAUUUCUGGAACCCUAUCGUACGCCAGGCCCUUUACAUACAUCACUUCACCAUUGUUCAUGCUGAGUCCUCCGUCCUGUGGAGGAGACAGCAGGCUCAGCGAUGCUGAGGAGUGUUCGGGUUCCCACGUGAACUGGAUAUGAGCCCAAGUCUGCCCACCACGGAGGACCAUGUUCUCUCCUCGACACGACACUGUCUUGAUUAUAUGCACCGCCCGUGGAACUGGGGAGUGCCAUCCACAUGAAACGAGAAGGAGGAGAAAAUGACAGGAGGGCGUGAAGUCAUGAGGAUUGUACUGAUCCCGAAGCCCCUGGCUAACGCUGAGUUACCUGCAAAGCAGCCUCUGAACUGUCCCCAAAAUGACAGUUGGUAAAAUGGCACAUCAUUUGCCCAUCACACCAAACAGGGGAGGUGUCUACGAUUUUUAUUCAGUUUACAGCCCGUGGAGAAGCCCCAAGCCCCCAGUGGGAGUCCCUUCCCGAGUGCUGCCCACACGGAUUUUAUAGCUGCCCAGCAAGCACUCUGCUUGCCUGAUGAACCGUAGGCUCUCCAUCUGGGUGCAGCCCUGGAGGGACUCUCAAGAGAGGUGUAGCUCAUCUAGCUGAGAGCAGGCCCGGGCCCUAAACUGAGCCAAGUUACCACCCCUCCUGCGACUCUGCUGCUGGAGAAGAGUGAGAAGGUGAGGGAAGGUCUAAGAGCUUCGCUGAGGGCACACUGGUUUGGCUCCCAGACUGGUUCCUCUUCUGUGAGCUUCCUGCCAUGCAGCCAGCAAGGGUCCUGCCUCUCCUGGUGGUCCAGAGCUAUUCUGUGCUUUUCGACUGAUGUUCUUGGGACAAAAGUUGCUAUGUUCUCCAGGCCUGGAGAAGGUGGCAGUAAGCAGGGAAAAGAACAGGCCCAGAAAUCAAUCUCCAAAAUUUGGUGCGGAGGGAGAGGGACAGGGUGCAUCAGGCUACAGGUCUGUGCCACCUCAUUAGGGAUCUCGGUUCUGGGGACAAUCACGGUGACCGUUUUCAGCGGGAGCACGUCCAGCUACUCCUGGUGGAGCCAGCGGGCACGCCCUGGCAAGAUCCCUCCGGCCCACAACUCUUCCCCUAGACCACUCUUUCCUGUGCUCAGAAUUCCACAGGGAAGAUUUUUUCCUCCCUCUUGUUGAAAGGCAGUCGUCUCAGAAAGACGGUGCCAUGCGCGCAGGUCAGCCCACGGGGUCUCAGGGAAGCCACCUGGUACCUGGAUUCCCCACCUGGUCAAGGAAGAUGCUUCCACUGCAGCCCACAGCCAGGUGAGAGGAGGUCUAAAGUUCUCACGAAAACCAAAUUCUGUCCGUGGAUUGCGGGAGAGAGAGGUGUGACUCUACAGAGCCAGAAGGUGGUCUAAGGGACAGUCAUCAGCUUGCACACUUCCUGGUGGAGAAUGGCUCUCAUCCUCUCUGGCCAAAACAGAGGUGCUUUCUGGAUCAUACCUGACAACCUCGCAUAUACGAUUUAUGAACAUGCAACAUGUUGACGGCUCAUCCGUGGAGGAAAUUUGAUAGAGGUUUUCCCAGUUGUGGCCACAGCCUUAAAACCUAAAUGACCUAAUAGCAACGGUGUACGAAGCUGAAGGAAAGGCCUCUAAGUCUUCAAUAAAAGCAAAAUUCAAUCAAUAAUACCA
rnacentral:lncRNA from 12 species